rnacentral:rRNA from 1 species
UGGCGGACGGGUGAGUAACGCGUAAGAAUCUACCUAUAGGUUCGGGACAACAGUUAGAAAUGACUGCUAAUACCGGAUAUGCCUUCGGGUGAAAGUUAUAAUGCCUGUAGAUGAGCUUGCGUUCGAUUAGCUAGAUGGUGGGGUAACGGCCUACCAUGGCGACGAUCGAUAACUGGUCUGAGAGGAUGACCAGUCACACUGGGACUGAGACACGGCCCAG